rnacentral:rRNA from 1 species
UCUUUGACGCACCUUGCGCUCCUUGGUAUUCCGAGGAGCAUGCCUGUUUGAGUCUCAUGGAAUUCUCAAGCUUACAGUUUUGUUACUGCAAGGCUUGGACUUGGAGGUCGUGUCGGCUCUCGCGAGUCGACUCCUCUGAAAUGCAUUAGUGCGGACGUUACCGGUCGCUUCAGCGUGAUAAUUAUCUGCGCUGCCGUCGACGGGUAUGUGAAGUACGCGCUUCUAACCGUCCUUCACGGGACAAUACGUUGAAACUCUGAGCUCAAAUCAGGUAGGACUACCCGCUGAACUUAAGCAUAUCA